rnacentral:lncRNA from 1 species
UCUAAGCUUUUUCUUUCUUCAGAUAUAUAUAUAAUAUAAGAUGGAACUAACACCUACGAGUGAGUUUAUUGAUUGUUUUUUUAUUUCUUUCAGGUCCUUGAACUAUUGUUUCUGGCAUCCAUUACAAACACCUACGAGUUUCAGGUCCUUGAACUAACACCUAUACUAUUGUUUUUUUUUUCUUUCCAAUUCAACAAUAUCACUCUUCUC